GGCUUAGGAUGAACGCUGGCGGCGUGCUUAAUACAUGCAAGUCGAACGAAGAGCCCUUAACCGAAGAUGAUGACGUGCUUGCACUGAAUCUGAUUCACCUUAGGGUUACUGAGUGGCGGACGGGUGAGUAACGCGUGGGUAACCUGCCUUAGACAGGGGGGAUAACAUCAAGAAAUUGGUGCUAAUACCGCAUAUGCUCACAGUAUCGCAUGAUACAGUGAGGAAAACUCCGGUGGUCUAAGAUGGACCCGCGUCUGAUUAGCUAGUUGGAGGGGUAACGGCCCACCAAGGCGACGAUCAGUAGCCGACUUGAGAGAGUGAUCGGCCACAUUGGGACUGAGACACGGCCCAAACUCCUACGGGAGGCAGCAGUAGGGAAUAUUGCACAAUGGGGGAAACCCUGAAUGCAGCGACGCCGCGUGAAGGAUGAAGUAUUUCGGUAUGUAAACUUCUAUCAGCAAGGAAGAAAAUGACGGUACUUGACUAAGAAGCCCCGGCUAAAUACGUGCCAGCCGCGGC
rnacentral:rRNA from 1 species